NNNNNUAUAGUUUGUUUGAUGGUACGUGCUACUCGGAUAACCGUAGUAAUACUAGAGCUAAUACGUGCAACAAACCCCGACUUUUGGGAGGGGCACAUUUAUUAGAUAAAAGGCUGAUGUGGGCUCUGCUCGUUGAUCCGAUGAUUCAUGAUAACUCGACGGAUCGCAUGGCCUUUGUGCCGGCGACGCAUCAUUCAAAUUUCUGCCCUAUCAACUUUCGAUGGUAGGAUAGGGGCAUACCAUGGUGGUGACGGGUGAUGGAGAAUUAGGGUUCGAUUCCG
rnacentral:rRNA from 16 species